GAUGAAGAACGCAGUGAAAUGCGAUACGUAAUGUGAAUUGCAGAAUUCAGUGAAUCAUCGAAUCUUUGAACGCAUAUUGCGCUCUCUGGUAUUCCGGAGAGCAUGCUUGUUUGAGUAUCAGUAAACACCUCAACUUCCAUAUCUUUUUUGAAAUGGGAGUUGGACUUGAGUGAUCCCAACGCUUUUCCUCACCGAAAAGUGGCGGGUUACUUGAAAUGCAGGUGCAGCUGGACUUUUCUCUGAGCUAUAAGCAUAUCUAUUUAGUCUGCCUAAAAAACAGAUUAUUACCUUUGCUGCAGCUAACAUAAAGGAGAUUAGUUCUUGUGCUGACUGAUGCAGGAUUCACAAAGACAGGCUUCGGCCGACUUUGUAAACUCGAUCUCAAAUCAAGUAAGACUACCCGCUGAACUUAAGCAUAUCAAUAACGGAGGA
rnacentral:misc_RNA from 1 species